CACUUGGUUCCAGUUGGCAUUAGUUUAAACACUUCUUUCUCUCCUCCCAAAUUUCUGAAAUUUUCCAUAGUCAUAGCUCCAUCCCAACAAUUUUUUUUCGCCUAAGGAAGAACAAGGUAUCAUUCACCCAUUUCUUCUUCUUCUUUAUCUCUCUUCCUCUUCUUCCCUUUUCUUUCUUCUUCUUCCUCUUAUCUUAGAUUUGCAACGGUGAGAGAGUUCGGCGGCUUGAGCUUUUGAGAAGGAAAUUCUCAGCCUCCACGGUGGCGAAGUGCUGUGUGGUCACAGCGAGAUUAAUUGGCUAUCAGGUAUGAAAGUCAUUGCUCUCGUAAUCUAUAUCUAUAAGUUUCGCUCUCAAAAGAUUUCAACUUCCAUUGAAACCCAUCUCUCAAAUCUUCUUUCCCAUGUGAUCCGUCAUUCACGCCUCAACCAUAAAUAAGCCUCUUUCUUCUCCAUGUUCGUCAUCCUAUAUGCAACUCCUUGAUAUCCUGACACAACUUCUAUGCAAUCUAUUGAAAUAAUCCAUAAGUGAUAUUAUCCCAGAAGGAGCAUGCUCUAGGCUCACCACCAAGUGGCAUCCUAAGUAGGAUAUAGAGAAGAAAAGAGUGUCGAUUCCCCAACUGUUAGCAACUCUUUCAAUUAUUUCUUUUUCAAUGUUGACAGGGGAGAUGGAGGAUUUGGAUAGAUGGAUGUUCAAACCUGAUGCAACUUCGAAAAGAUGGAUAGCAUUUUGAAGAUUUCUAAUGCUAUUAUCAUCAUCUUCAACAAAGAGAAGAAUGUCAUUUGCAAAUAAGAGAUGAAUUAGAUUGAUAUCAUUGAUGAGAACCCCUUUGAUUUUGUUGGAGUUUUCCAAGUGCUUAAGGAUGCAGCUGAGAUAAUCCAUAGCUAACACAAAGAUUAAAUGAGAGAUGGGAUCUCCUUGUCUGAUUCCUCUUUUUGGUUUAAUCCUGCCACGAGGUUUGCCAUUAAUGAGGAUAGAGUAUUGAACUGUGGAUAUGCAAGUUUUGAUCCAGUCCCCCCAUUUUUUAGAAAGGUUUUUCUUCUUGAGCAUGAAGUCAAUGAAAUUCCAACUAAUUUUGUCGAAUGCUUUUUCUAGAUCAAUUUUGAUGACAAAUCCUCUUGUUUUCUUUCUUUUCCAUAGGUCAAUGUUCUCAUUGGCAAUGAGUAUAGCAUCAUCAAUUUGUCUUCCAUGCACAAAGGUCAUUUGGUUUUUAGAUAUGGUAUUUGGAAGAAUAGCUUUCAGUCUAGUGGAAAGAGUUUUAGAAAUAAUCUUGUAUAAAGAGGUGGUAAGACUGAUGGGUUUGUAAUCUGCAGCAGCAAGGCUUAUCUCCUUCUUUGCAAUAAGGGCUAUGUAGGUUACAUUUGUUCUUUUGUUGAUCUUCCCAUUUUGGAAAAAACCCUGGAAUGCUUCCAAUAUGUCAUUCUUAAAAACGUUCCAAUUUUUUUAAAAGAACUCAAGGGUGAAGUUAUCAGAACUGGGAGCUUUAUUGCCUUCAAAGGAGAAGAUUGAGUUUCUGAUUUCUUCCUCAUUAAAGGGUGCAGUGAGUUGCUUAGAAGAGAGGUAGUCAAUGGGGUUCCACUCGAGAUUAUCAAUGAGGCAAGAAAUCUUUUGUUUAGUAGCAUAUAUUGAUUUGAAGUGAUUUAUAAAAACUUUAUGCAUACUCUCAUUGGUGCUAUAGUCGAUGCCUUAUGUAUCAUAGAUCUCAGAGAUUGAUUUCUUCUUUUUCUAGCAGAACAAACUUUAUGGAAAAAGUUUGUAUUUUCAUCCCUCACUUAGCCAAAGUCUUUUAGCUCUUUGAGGCCAAUAUUGAGCUUCUUUAAUGGUAGCAUCCAUAAGAUCAACCUUGAGAGUUUUUCUUCUAUCAUGGUCCUCUUUAAAAAGAGUAUUUUGUAAUUCCAUAGAGUCAAUCUUUUAAAUUUCUUGCCUCUAGAGCACAUCUCAUGAUCUUUGGCAUAUUUUCUUUUAAGUUGCCAACCUUUGGUAUUUUUUGCAAGCUGCUUCAAUCUUUUCAUAAAGGAAUAUCCUGGGUAAUCAUCCUUCUGACUUUUAGUCCACCAAGUGGUGAUAGCCACAUAAAAGCACUCCUUUUUUAUCCCUACAUUGUUUAGUCUAAAGGAGGAGGUCCUUAAGAAAGACUAAGAAAUUCAAGGACAAUAGGGAAGUGGUAUGAGGUACUUUUGGUGAGAAGUUCACAGUGAUGUAGAGAGAAUAUAAGCUCCCAAUUUGGGGGGAGGGUUAAUGAGGUGGAGAUUCUAGAUGAGAGAAUUGCAUUUAUUCAUGUUAUGUUCAGUCGGAUUGAGUGAAGAUGUUUCAGCCCUUCAUCUUACCACAUUAAAAUCUCCACCUAGAAGCCAGUUAAGACCACAAGAAUUUGAUAAGUUGUUAACUUCCUCCCUAAAACUGCCUCUUUUUUUUUUCUUUUCUGUUAACAGAACCAUAUACAGUAAUAAUCCACCAACUAAAACCAUCAGGCUCUAUGAUAUUAGUUGAGAUUGAGAAGGACCCUUCUAUACAGUUGACCACAUUAUAUUUCAUGUCAUCCCACAUUAAGAGAAUGCCACUAGUUCUACCUUUAGCUUUUUUAAAAAGCCAUUUUAUACUAAUGGAACUCCACGAACAUUUGAUAAUUCUUAUGUUCAUAUCAAGCAUUUUAGUUUCAGAGAAACAAAAUCAAGAAAGUAGCUAGAAAUUUCUUUUUUUAUUUGAGCUCUUUUUUGCGAAGAGCAAAUCCCUCUUACAUUCCAAGAAUGCAUUUUCGUGGUGAACUAUUCGAUCCCAAAGGCUUAUAGCCUAUUUCAAUAUUGUUUUCAGUUCCCAUAUUGGUUGUGAAGGUGCUUACAAUGUUGUCAAAAGCUGGAGCGAGUUUGAGGUUGUUGUCCUUUAGCCAAGUAAUGAGCUGCUUUUUAAAGAGCUUUUCACUGAUUUUCUUCUUGCCAAUCCAUUUAUCUGAUUUCCCUUCUUCUUCCUCACUAUCCACCAGAGUGACCAAGUUGUCUCUAAUGAUCUCAGAUUGAGUUGGGGAGAUUUGGAUUGGUGUCAUUAGAGGGGAGUCAGGGCUGGGGAUAUGCUCAACUUCCAUCUCCUCAGCUAUAGGGAAAAUGUUCCCAACUCGACUGUCAGAUUUAUGACCUUCUCUUUUUUCUUCUAGAUGCUUGAAGGGCUUCCUUUGUACGUUGGAUUUUCAAUUCGAAGAGGCUUGGCAGGAGCAUUCUCAGGAUUAUAAAAAAAAAGUUUUGUUCUUAGGAGAGGGGAAAACUUACUUUUCUUCUUGGGUUUGGCAUUUGUUGAGGAGAAAUAUCACUUAAGUUAUACCACAUAUUGAUCUAAAGGGUUGUUCAUGUAUUCUUUUUCUUCAUUCUUGGUUUAAAUUUAAGUUUUGUCUAGACAAUCGAAGUUUAUUUUUAAAUUAACAUUAAUUUUCAAUGUUCAAAUUUUUGUUCUAAAGUUAA